rnacentral:sRNA from 1 species
GCCAGGUACAGUGGUGUGUGCCUGUAAUCCCAGCAACUGUGGAGGCAGAGGCAGGAGGAUGGAGAGUAUCAAAGCCAGCCUUCAUAACUCAGUGAGGCCCUAAGCAACUUAGCAAGACCCUGUCUCAA